GCAGGACGGGGCCGGGCGCUCCUCGGGCUCCUCCCGAGCCCCAGCGGUGCCGGGUGCCGGGACGGCGCGCCUCGCUCCCUGGCGGCUGCAGCUAUUUUUAGCACCAGCCGCCGAAUCGCGGUGCUAUUUUUAGCUGUCGGCGGCUCCCACCUAGCAGAAGAGGAAGGCAUGGAAGCCUCUAAGAACGAAAUUGAGCACAGUGCUGGGGAUGCUGCUCUGACACACGGUGUUACCCUUAAUGCUGUUCUGAUUGGGUUGCUUCGACUUAGAGAAAGUCUCCGCUUGCAGUAGUAAGGUUGUAGCUUCAACACAAGCCAAAUGCUAAAUUACAGAUGCUGCAGGAUUCAGAAGAAAACUCGACACGUGUUUCAUGAUCUUUGGUCACCUCCUACUUGCUAUCAUAUCUUUGUGGAAUGGGAGAAAGCAGGUUUAGGCAUGUUCUGAAAAAAUCUGUAGUUUUGACAGGAUAGAUUCUGUGAUGGUGUAUUGAGUAAAUCCCUCUUAGUUUGUGGAUUAUUGGUCUGACAGGCAGGAACUUCCUCAGAUUCAUUCUGCUUUAUCACGUCAGGCCAGCUGCUGUGCACGUGUACCAGAUCUGUGCACUCAAAGCCCCAUGUAUCUUUCACUGAAAGAAGAUGGGAGUACGUGAAGGGAGCUGUGUUGUUAAUGAAAGCAGGAUUUCACUCCAUGACAACCGAGAUACUGGUUUUACUUUUUUGUCGUCGUGACUGGCUGCCAGAUUAUUUGGUAGCUGGUGGUUUAAAAAUCAUCUGUGGGGGAACUUGAUCCUUGGCUUUGCAACGAGCUAUCACAAUGAAGUUGGCACACAACUUUCUAAGGCUAAACCAGGUAAUUCAAGUAGAUUGUGCACUUCUCUUUCAUUCAGCUGAAAUACAGGAGCACCAGAACACAAGAACAGAAUGAAGGCAAACUGAUUUUUUUCUCCCCUGUGGUUGCCAUUGAUUUAAAUUCCAAAAGCUGUAUCUUCUUACUUUCAUUGACAGCAACUGCUCUCUCUAAAGCUGAUAGGGCUACACUGUGUGAUACUCAUUAUGAGAAGGGAAUCAGAUGCCAGUAGGUCAAGUCAGCAUUUGACUACCUUCGUUUCUUGAGAUUUUCUGAUGAAGGGAGAAACGGUAGAGUUACCCACAUCACUGGGGUUAUUCCAGGAUUGGGGGAGGAGGAGGGAGGAGGGGGGGGGUAAUGGGUAAUAUUCUCCUCCCCCUUAAUAAGUAUCAACUUCUCCUCCACUUUUGUGGGGAGUUUAUAACAGACAUUUCUGGUAACAAGUUUGAAAUAAAUGUGGUGCAUGAAAUAAAUCUGGAAACAUAACUGAAUCAUGGGGUUUUCUGUGUGUGCAUAUUCACUACUGUAGUUUUACGUGUAAUCCUUCUUGAAUCUUGACACAUGCUCACUUGUUCAUUCUUACUGCAUCUCUCAUUCUUGCCUUUUCUGUCACAGUGGCUGUCAUGAACUGCAGCAAUCUGGCAACAGUUUUCUCCUACAGCUAGGAGAAGAGCAGUCUUCUGAAUACAAAUUAUUUUAGACUGGAAUAUGAACUAGAUACUGUUCUGCACUCUGAAAUAAAUGAUUACUGAAAACAAGUAGAUGCUUAGAAUACGAUGGGAAAUUUGCAGUCUGUUUUAGGGUGGGAAAAAAAAAACAACAGUAAAAGUAACUUUGAAGUACCUGAUCAGGUAGGUUACAAGUCCUUUUCCUCGAGGGAAAGAGUCUUAAUAUGUGGAUAAAAUGAAACUUUGAAAAGAAAAUAAUAAGCCUCAAAAAUAUGUGCAAACUAUUUUUGUCUAAUCAGGCAAAAGCCUGUACCUGGGUGUAACUUGAUUUAUGUGAAUGCUGCUGCUAAUCUUGGCGUUGAAUUCAUAAGUGUUCACUCAGGUAAGUAAAUCUGUGACUAAGCACACCACUUUAGAAAACCCUGAACCCUGCUAGUAGGAAGAAGUGUCCUAAUUUUAAUAACACUAAUUCAGGGUAUUCAAGAAGAGAUUACAUUGAGAAAGUAUAAUCUAAUUUACACAUGCAAUUAACUUUUAACUUGCAAAUUAUAAAAACGAUUUUUUACAGAGCUAUAACAAUAAAGAAACUUUUGACUUUACAAACUUUACAAAAUCCUGUGUUAAUAAGUCUUGCUGGUACAUUUAUUGAGGAUAAAGAACUCAGGAUGAAAAUUCCACUGGAGAAAGGUCAGGGAGGAACAGAAGAUACCUCCUGAAGAAAAUCUCAUUGAAGACACUCUUCUUACUUUGCAAGAAAGGACUAACAGAAAUGAGGAUUAUUUAAUACUUUGUCAAAAAGGUGGAUUUGGUGGGGGAUUCAUCUUUGCAUCUCUAUUAUAAAAAAAAAAAGUUUGGAAGAUUUCUGCAAAUUGAACCUGUGGAUGUAUAUUUAAAAAAAUGCACUGGGAAAUAGUAGACUAGAAAAAACCUUCUCAACAAGUGGUAUAACCUUCUUGACAGUCAGAAGGUUAGUAAAAGACACUGAUCAAAGCAGAGAAGUCAGUAUCUCAAAGAAGUUUGUCUCAGCAAGCGAGGAGUUUCUGAUACAACAGACUCCUUCAUAGUCACAAGCAUGGCUUCAAUAGAUGCUCUUCUAGACAAAGAAGCUGAUGAUGCAACUGGUGAUCCUUGGACUUUUUGUGUCCUGAGAGAAAAUGGGUAGCCUGACAAGUAUUUGACUCGAGAUAAUAUACAGAAGAUCAAGUUGUAGCUCAAAUUCAGGGUUCUGAUGAAAACUGAGAUGCUGAUGGCAUUAUUUCAGACAUGAAUAACUUCAGGUAUUAAAAAUGGUAAGCUGACUGGGAGGGGAGAAAAUAUCUAGAGGAGACGCCAAACCCUGGCAAUUGUUGAACAGAAUGAAGUAUAAAAAUGCAGUUUAAAUAAAGCUGUUCCUCAGAGUGGUUUUGAUGAAUAAUUUACUGAAUCAAGAGUUUUCCAGAAAACUGCUUAAAUGGCACCAUCCUGUUAGUGACCAAAGACAGAGAUGAAUAUUUCAAAUAAUUAAUAUCCCAUUCUUACUAAUAUGUCUGUCAAAGCCAGCCACGUAUGCCUUCUGCAAGUUUCUGCUUUUGUAAGUUUUUCAUGGUAGUGCUUCUUCUGGUUUGCUGCUGCCAGUGCUUACAUACUGUACUGUUCUCUGGCCAUUUUUAGUUGUUUUUGAAGGGGAUGUCCUUCCUCUUCAUUAAGAUGGUUUUUCAUCUUUAAUCUCUUCAUUAGCCAUUUUGUUGUGUCUGCUUUUACUUAUUCCUUUAUUUCUUUUUCUAUUUGUUGCUUUCCUAUCCUGUUACUGAUAUUUCAAGUGUUUCUAUCCAAAGCCAUGAGCAGCAAGUCCAGUUUGUUGACAGAAGUGCUACUGAUGAUGGGCUUCCAAUGCUAAUGGGACAAUGUCCAACCUGUUUGUGUAAUAAGGUUGAUAGGGUGAUAACAAUGGCUGUGGUAGUGCUAUGCAUUACAGUCUAAUUCUGCAACCUGAGUAAAAAUUUUGGUACCCUUGCUGUUGAUAGUUUUUCUUCUCAUAACGGCGAGCUGCCUCAAAUUACACAUUAACUUUGCACUCCUAAGUAAUGAUCCCCAAAUUCUGUUUCAGGAAGAUGAGUGUUACUAAGAAUCCUUCAGGAUAACAGAACACAACUUUAAUGUUUGCUUAUUUAAUUAAAAGACAAACAAACAGAUAUUUAAUGUAUAGCUAAAAAUGCUUGACAUAAUAUGAAUACUGCUACUUGAAGUUCUUUCAAAAUCUUCUGAAGUCACAGAGGCAGCAUUACAGCUGAACAGGAUUAGUAAGGUUUCUCCCUUACUAUAGGUUCUUAUUAUCCCCUUUCCUCCAUUAGUUUUAAGGAUGGAUAUGACAUACCAAACCAACAUGUGCCUUAAAGCCUUGAAUUCAUAUGGUAAACAUGCUGCACGCUUUAACCUACUCUACAAGUAGAUCAGAAACUAAGAUAUAAACAGACUUGCUGUUUACAACUUUGUUAAAUAGUGACUUCUGUUCUUUCUAAAUGGUUUUGUAGUAAUAAAUGACCAAUAAAUGUACAAAGCUUCACGUCCUAUAGACUUCUUAAACAUUCAUUACUCUUAAAGACAAGGCAAACUUUCCUUGAAGAAACAUCUUCCACCAGAAGUAAAAUAUUCCAAACUCAUUUUAUUUUAUAAAUGACCUAACAAGGUACCAGGUCAUGCAGUAUUCUAAUGAUAGAAGAAUAGUUAUUACCUUAUUGACUUUGUUCCAGAUGGGGAGGAUAUGUAAUUGUUCCAUUUAGUUUAAUGGAAAUACCAUUCUACAUGAUCUACUUACAUUUCAGCAAAAACGUAGGAGCAAAAUAUAAGCUCUAGUUAUCACACUGACUUUGAUUUUUGAGGUGCAGAUGCAAGAUUCACAAAACUAACUGCUUCUCAGUUAGCUCCUGUGCUGGCAAAGGUCAUUUCCUCUCUUGUUGCUUGGUAAUGCGUGAGAGCAGUAACACUGCUUUUGUUAGUAGCCUGCUCCCGCUGAACUUGAGUGUCAGUUUAAUGUUACAGUGCAACAGUAAGUACUAUCAUAUUAUCUAGAUGAGACAGCAGAUUCUGUAGCCAUUGGCCAAAGUAAUGAAUGGGUAUGAAUACAAGAACCAGUUUUGAAAACUGGUAUCAAGUCACACAAUGGAGAACUUCCAAGCUAUGUCUUGUACAUGUUUGGGAGGAAAAGUCAAUGGAUGUUCUUGGAUGUUCUUCCAACAGUACGUCCCCCUGCCCCCCAGUGGCAGUAGCUAUGGAUUUCAUUUGAUGUAUACCUCUUCUUUAGCUUAAGUGAUGAGAAAUUUUUCUACUACUUAGUCUUACUGCUGAUGCUUAAGGACACAUUCCUCUCCCUGUCUGUGUUGGGAAGCAAAGAAGGGAUUUCAUUUUCAGCUGUGAGAGUAUUCAUAGCCCAGUACAAGUAUAGUAUGGACAGCUUCAUUUUAGAAAUAGCAAAAGAAAGGAAACACUUGGUGUGAGUUUCACUCUGUUUGCCACUUCUGUCAAGUAAUACAAAGCCAUUUGGGAAACGAAGAAUUACAACAUCUUUUUGUCCUCCUUCAUGCACUCUUAUAGUACUUUUUUUCUUGAGUAACAGAUCCAGACUCAUUUUCAAAGACUGGAUUUUACUAAAAAUUUGGAAGCUAUGUAUUAUGAAAAAUUGAUAUCUGCAUAAAUGUGAAUGAACUGGUAACUUGUAUUUUCAUUUUGGAUGAAGAACUAAUUACCUAUAAAUAAAAAAAAAAUCCUGUUUUUAUUAACAGCUUAUGUGUAUUUUGCAUUCAUAUGUGCUAUCUUAAUUUUAAUGUAAAUAAUGACUAAUAAGUAUUUCUCCAAUCAUCUCUGGCUAUGUAAUUCUGGUGUCUGCUUUCUACAGAGAACUUAUCUAACUUUCAGGUUCACAUCAUUUUAAUUUAUUUUACAAAACCAGGGUUCUUUCCUCAAAUUUCCAUUAUGGUAUAUUAAAUCUUCCAACCUUUUCUGAGUCUAGAUUAAUCAGUUCCCACUUGCAGUAAAGGAUUGAAAGGGACCUUCUGGAUGGAGUCCAAUUUCCAGGGGUACUAAACAUUCAUGCAAAUCCUUUCAGAAUCUGUCUUCACCUUAAGUUACAGCUAUUUCUUUAUUACAUUGUGAGAAUGGCAUUCUGAAUACCUAAAUGUAUUCUUUUGCAUUUUGUAUAAAUGUCUUACGUUUACUGAAUAUAUUAUGCAUACCAUUGCUUAGCAUCUCUCUAUUCUUUUAAUAAGGAGGGAGAAUUAAAAAUGUCUUAUCUUGGCUCUUGCUUGGGCUUUCUAACCCAAGUCAAAUAUCAAAUUCUUGGUCCUUUGGCAAAAUAACCUUUUCUCAAGUCUGAGUGAGCACUGCCUGAGGAGUGUGCCUCAUCUCUAGAAUAUGCCUUCCCUAAAAGCAAAAUCCUGGUUGUACUGUUAUCAAUUAGCAAGCCUCUUACUAAGGUCAGUGCUAGUCUCCUUUCACUUGUCUAGCUGCAACGCUUGCCCAAGGGUAAUUAGGCUGCUAUACUAUUGACAUUCUUAAACCUAAAGAGCUGUAAGCACUUUAACAUAAGAGAUAUCUUUAACUUCACUUUCUGUAGCUAACUUCAGACCAAAAAUCCAAAGAUUUAGGCUAUGUUUACUUCUGUCUUUCUCUGUGGUAAGCUGAAUACAUUUUAAAAUUCUGCUGUUACCCUGGAUGCUGCCUUUAGCCAUGGUCUGUAGUGAAGUCCUUUAUACAGAGAAAUCAUUAAAAGUUUUAAAAACUAUGGAGUCAGAAGAGGACUGCUGGUUCACCAAAUUCCUUGAAAUAAAGUUUAUUGCAGAUCAGGGCCAUUGUAUUGUAAGUGCCUGAUCUAUAUAUCUUGAGGUGGGUGCAUGAUGUAAACAAGUUAGAAUUUCACAUAUAGUUGGUAUGCAAGCUAUUAAGUCUGCAAAUUGGUACUUCAAGAACACACCUAGGAAUUAAACAAAAGACCAUCUAAUACCACAAUACUGUCCAUUCUAUUUCUUUUUCCAAUGAAUGGAUUUUUGUUAUUGAGAUCAAGGACAGUUUGUAUAUACUACAGUUGCCUAGUCAGAUCACAUCAUUUUAUCCUUGAUACUAUCUUUGUCCUCCACUUUCUAGGUACAGUUCCUUAUGACAUUAAUUAAGCAGAAUAAAUUUCAAUUUUUUUCACUAUAGUCUUAUUGUGCAGAUUAUCUGGUGGUUCUGUUGCCAGUUACAUCAUCAUUAUAUACAUUUACGAUAAUCCUUUAGAAAAGUAUCAGUAUGACUAUCUCUUACCACUAUCUUAUCAGCUUUCUUGAUUUUUUUAUUUUUUUUUUCUUGUCUACGGAUUCCUACUGUUGAGAACCUGUGUGGUGAAUUGUAAACACAUCUUAUUGUCCCUUCCUGAUGCUAUAGCAUGUUUCAGCACCUGUUGCUAAGAGUUUUUUUGGCAUUGGCUUUGUCUACUAUUGGGGAUAUACAUAACUACUUUUAUAUUAAAGCAUAUAUAAAUCCUACAGUUCCUUACCAUGCUGCACAAGAUAUUUGUAUAAAAGACUGUUUCAUUUUAUGGUAUACCUCAGCUUCAUAAAUUUACAUAGGAACAUCUUUGUAGAAACAUUUCCUCUAAUUAUUUGUGCAUUUUUAUAGAAGCUACAUUUCAUUCCCCUUCCCCCCCCCUUUUUUUUAUCUGCUGUAGCAUCCACUGACACAUUACAACUCAUAUUUUGCUUAUGAAUAUAUACACUCUGGAAAUAAGUAUCUCUAAUAUUUAGGAGAACAAUACUAAGCAUACCUUCCAAUAGGAAGGAAGGACAACAGUGUUUUCAGGUCUUUCCUUCACCUAGAUAGAGAUGAUGCAUAUAAAUGGUAUAAAGUAGAACAGCUUCAAUGUUUCUGUAAUUUAUGCUCACUGAAAUGACUCCCACAGCAUUUUUGUAUUGGUGAGUGUCAUCUGAACACAGCUUUCACUGGCAGGCUCAUUCUGUCUAUUCUCCAUUAAAGCAUUGAAGACUAUAGAUCUAGUAGUGGUUUCAGCCUGGCUAGCCACACCAGCUUUUCAUCUCCUCUGCAUACAGGUAAGUACUGAGAAGACAGCAGAACCAACUUUCUUUCUUAAAUACAAAUUUGUCCUAAAAAUUUUUGUUAAACAAGUGGAUUCAAAAUGCAGUCAGAUUUUCUUCCUCUUUCUUGCAGAAAUGGUUUUCAAACAUUGUUUUUAGCAAAUAAUUGGGCAUUUAUUUUGCACUUUCUCUUAGAAAUCUGUCAUUAUCCUAUCCCUGUUUUUUCCAGUUCUUUUCCUGAUUCUUUUUUCUCUUUCCCAUUCAGCAUACCCCACUACUGGGAAUUUCUGUGGUGCCUGAUAAGAUUGUCAGCUAUGAACACUUUGUUUAUUGCUGGAAACUUGCCUCAAUUCUCAUAGAUUUAUGAAAUAGUACUUGUCUUGUACAUUAACACCCUCUUCCAACAGCAUUUUGUGUCUGCCUAGCAUACCCACUUUUAUCCAACUAUUUUGGAUGUUCCAAGGAAUUUGUGCUGUUUCUGUUCAUCCUAUAUUUACACUUAAGAAUACUAGCAUUUCAAAAGCAAGUGCUGCUUUUGAAAUUACUCCUUGUAAUCUAGGAAAGAUUGAGUUGAGCAAAGCUUGCACUUUCAUCCUGUUUGCAGUGAUCAUUAUCUACCCUAUGCCCUGAAUAUAUGGCUAAAUCUGACAUGUGUAAGUGCAGGGAUGUGAGUGCAAAAAAAAAAUGAAGCAAAUAACCUAAGUCUAAUUAUCCCAAUAGAGACAGAAUUUGAAGUCUAUUGUUGUUGUUUUUGUAUAGGAGUACUCUUAUUUGUCACAAAAAAAUAUAUAUAUGUAUAUCAUUAUAAGCUGUUCUAGUUGGUUUUCCCUUUAAUUUUCUCAAUCAACAGUGACAGGACUUUGCUACCAGGCUGCCUAAGUAUGUGCUUCUUGUGAACAGAUAACAUCAUAGACUACCAUCAAAACAGUGAAUUGAUUCUAAGACCUGCUUAUAUUCAGAGUUCCAUGUUAUCUUCUGCACUCAUGUUUAUUUGGAAAGCUUUCUUGAUCAGAUUCAGAUUUCACAAAUAUCAGUCUCACCUGUUUCUGUAUUUUGUGUUGCUUGUGACAGUUUCUUGUGACAACUGGACAGAAUGCUUGUUUGUUUUACUCAAAAACAUUAAACUUGCUUGCCUUGCAAACAGAUCUCCAAAUCAUGAAUUUUCUCAUGUCAUUUUUUGGGGUCUACUUUCUUAAACAGGUUUUCUAAUGAAAUAAAUGGAAUUUCCAAUAGUAACACUGGGUGGCAGCUCCACCAUAUGUUUAAUUUAAGCUUAAACCCAUUCUGAAGAGGUAUUUAUUAAGGUUAUAUUAAGCAUUUAUUUUGUGGUAGCAUUUCUGCAUAUUCAUGUGACAAGUACAAAUAUUGCAUGUGACCAACUAUUUCUUGUGGAAACACUAAAAAAUUAACAAUUAUAGCAUGCGGGAAUGUUACUAGACAUAAAGAACUAUCUAAUGAUAACAUUGUAAUAAUUAUCUGUAAAUUAAGAGAAUAUUAUACUUUCUGUAUUCAGAAACUCUGAGGUGCUACCAAGGUAGGAAAAUCCAGAUGACACAAUAAGUAAGAUACACAGUAUAACUGGAAAAAUUAGACUAAGUCCUCUGACACCAGUGACUCAUACAGCCACCUACAGUCUGGGUCUAAACUGUCUUGCCUGAUACACUGUAAAUUCCUUUGAGUAAAUAAUAGUUCUGAAAUUUGUAUGUUUUAAAGGAGGUUAUGAAUCGUUACAAAAGUAAUUACAAAAGUAAUGAUUCAUUAGUAUGAUUCCAGAAUUAUGUUUUGGAUGCCCCGAGCCCUUCUAAGAAUUUCAGACACUGCACAAUUAGGUUUUUUCAGUGAUUGAUGCAUUUGUGUAGAGCAUGUGUAGUUUAGCAUAUUUGGGCUUAGUAUAAAGGAAACUUUUCAGCUUCACUGACUUUGUAGAACUGAGCAAGAAAAAGUCUUAAGAAUUUUCCUUAUUCUAGACUGUUGCUUCCACUAAGGACAUCUCACCUCACAUUUUUUGUUGGGUUUGUUGUUGUGUUAAAUUUAUUCACAUAUUAUGAAAUAUUCACAUAUAAUAUGGGAAGGAAUCAUAUAUAAUAUUCACAAUGUUAGACCACCUGAUAUGGGGGAGACCUGUUAUUUCUGUUAAAUGACUAUCUAAAAUAAUGCAGUUCUGUCCCUUUAUAUAUUGGUAAGUACAUUCCCCAAUGACUGUAUAGAAUACUAAGUUUCUUUUAACUCCAGCCAUUACAUGUGAUUUCUUUUAUUCUGUAGUAUUCUAGAGUUGAGGCAGUAAUUUGUGAAUUUAUCUUCUGGGCAAGUCAUCUAUUCUGAACAUGGCAAAUUGUGAUUCUGUUUUCCAUGUUUGUAGCCCAUUACUGCAAACCCCAUAUCUGUAUAUAGACUUGGUUGUUUUCAUUGUCAUAUAAAUUUUAUAUACAUAAUUACGUGUUUUCAUUUCUGACUUUCAAGUUUGAUACUCUCCCUGGUCUGUGAGUCUGUCAGUAUACAACUCAUUUUUGAUCUUCCUGCAUAUUUUUAAUAUUAUUUUUGUUUAACUUAUGAAAUUUUUAUGAAAAUGUACCUUGCAUGUUGCAGGAAUAAUCAUUAAAACACUUGAGUUUUUUCUCCAAAUAGCCUUUCUUAUACAUGACUAUUUUUUUCAGAAAAGUUAUUCAGGUAACAUAUGUCCAAUAUUCUUAGGAAGAGCUUGAAAUAAAAUGAACUAUGUAAUUAGACGUUGUCUCAUGACCACGUACAGAGGUAAUUUCCUACUGAAGUUUGCACAGCUGUUUUUGGAUGAGGUAGUAUAUUGAAGAUAAACAUUAGAAAGUGUUGGGUUUAUUUUUUUCUGGAAUUGUUCCAAAACAUAUUGAUUUGAGAAGCAUUGACUAGAUGGCAAACCCAGUAGAGUUCAUAAGACCACAAUUCACCUUAUUUGCUGACUUCCACAGAGUCGUCCUUUCAGUGAAAAUGUAACUAACAAUUCAUUAUUGAAUUACAAGUCUCUGAGCUUACUUAAACUUACUUAUGUCAUCUGCCUUGGAAAAUACUGUCAUUCUAAUUUUCACAUUUUGCAGAAAGCUACUGACAAAAUUUGAGGAAAGUAAUGACAAAAUAACUCUGGGGACCUUUCAGUUCUUUAAAGGUCUUAUCUCCACUCACUAAUCUUUUAAUCUAGGUACACCAUGGAGAUCAUCAAAUCAAACAGAACAGCUUAUCACUAAAGAAGCAAAAUUCAAAAUCUCAUGUGAAUUCUUUGAGCUCUGUCAGUCCUUUUAACCAUGCCAUUUAAUUGACAUUUUUGCCUGUUAUCUCCUAGCAUCACUGAAAAUAGACUUCUUGCAUAUUUCCACUAUUUACGUCAAAUGUUAGGUCAAAUAAUGUCUAAUAAGCCCUAGAAUGCAUCUUCUCUCAUUUCUUGCUUCAGUGUCUGAAGUUGAUGAGGUUAUUUACAGAAUUAGCCCUAAAUUCUCCAUUUUACUAGUGAAAGAAAUGUUGUCAUCUCUUCCACAAUGUUUCAAUAGCUUUCCAUACUGCCGAAAUCAGAAACUUCUCUGAAGAUGCUGGAUUCUGAUGAAAGCAGGAGAUGGGCUUGGUUUGCGUUUUUCUUCUUGCUACAAUAUCUUACAUCAAGGAACUUAACAUUAUUUUGAAGUAUCUAAAAUCAAUGAUUAAGCCCCUCAGCUUGGUGAAAGAACAUGUUGCUGUACUUUAAUGGUGGGAAAGCCUAUAGUGCCUCUUAUUUAUAGACUGCUCUGUCUGUUUUGUUGUAUGACCAGCAUGUCUGAUGACCAUGUUCAGAGGACUGACUGCAGGUUAUCUGUAAAUAUUUUGUGUAUAUAUAUGUGUAUAAAUGUGUAUCAUGUACUAUUGAAAGUAUAUAUCCCUGUUUAUGUAACAGCUCCUAUAUUACCCAGAGCAGCACCCCUUACAGUAAUUUCAUUUUUUAUUAAUGCCUGCAAACCUUUAGCUGCAGAUGUCUAGAUUCUCUUCCCUCUCAGUAUGUGAGAUACAUCAAUAGAUAUAUUUGUCUUCAAAUCUGAUCUCAAGUAGACUAAGUUUCUCAGUCUGUUUUUUUCAUGUCAGUAUUAUAGUUUAUUUAUCAGAUGAAAAUCCAGAGCCAUCUGCCCCACUGAAUUCAGCUAUGCUGAACUUUUACACUGAAUUGUUUAUUUUAGUAGUACUGGCAUUGCCCACAUUCUGUUGUUGAGGGUGGGGUGUCUAGGCUACUGCACAUUUUGGUAGUUUCCUCCUUCAUCUGUUUUAAACUAAAUAAACAGACCUUUAGCUAAUGUAAAUGUUCUCAGUUUCUACAGCAGAGACAGUCAGCUGUAGCUGAUGUUACAUCCUCCCAUGUAAUCUUUGCCUGUUUUAAAGUCAAGGCACAAGAAGGUAUGGUAUUUUCUUAAACAGGAAAGACGUCUGCCUACUCAAGCCAAAAUGAAAUUGAUUUGAUACUAUCAGGUAGAUUAAGUUGCCUCCCUGUAAAAAGUCUUUAUUCCAAGCAUUUGUAUAUAAUGUCAUUUAAAUCUCCUCACAUGCUCUCAGUAUGCUUUGUAUCAUUGCAGAAGCUUCAGAGAAAACAGUGGAUUUGGCCAGAAGCUCUCUAGACAUCUUUGUUUAGAGCUGCAAGCUGUUAAAAAAGACAAAUUUAUGUACCAGGAGCUGGAGCUUUGCAGUGUGUUAUCCACAUGCAUAUCCUGCAUCCCUUUUUAGUUUCCCACCCCUAUGUCAAAGUCCUUGACACACUAGAAUUCUGCAGUUCAAAAAAAACUGAGAUGGAAAGCAAGUACCAGCCUCUCUACCCUAACUGGAGAAUAGAGAGAACAGCAAGACAGUUGAGCUCUACAGGAAUAUUCUUGUGUUAAACUAACCAGCUGAAGAUUGUGAGGAACUUCUUGCACUGUUAUGUGUAUACACAGGGUUCUGAAGACCUCUAAUUGAUGAUUGUCUUCUUUAUCUCUCCCUGAUGUGGAGCAAUUUUUGUGUGUUCUGGGCAAUCCUGGAUGGGGAACAGCUCAUUCUGCCCACUUUAGGAAGAUCUGGAUACAUUAGUAAGACUUUACAUUUUACUGAAAAUUUUCUUGAAGCUUGGUUCUUGCUGUCUUUCAGAUAUAGUCACCUCGCAGGGAAUAUGGAUGAUGUUUCCCCAGAUAUUCUUUUUUUUUCAUUCUUUUAUUUGCUUGUUUGUUUUUCAAGUAGUGGUUUUAAUUUUUUUAAUGUUUCUUGUUGUGCUAUUCCAUUUCAACAUGAACAUUUUAAGAAUGGGAAUGCCCCAGUCAGACAAUGCUUAUCCCUGAAGCUGGCAUAUGUUCAGAUGCUUUGCAGGUCUGGUGCUCAGCUGUGUACAUCAUCAUUAUGCUUGGAACUAAAAGCCAUUAUAUUGAUUUUUUUUUUUUUUUUUUUUGUCUCCCUUAUUUUUCUGUGUUUCAACUGAACUUAGAAGUCAAAUGUUUUUAGAGAGUGGAAGAUAUCCAGGAAAUUCAAAAUGCUGUCACAAGUUUACAAGUCCCAAGAAUACUUCAGAUAGUUCUAUCUUUAUCUUACUGCUGCACCUCCGAAAAAGCAGAGCAUGAUUGAUGCAUUAAACAUCUAGGGAAGAAAAAAAUUAGCUUCAGUGCCAGUUACACUUGAGACAAAGAGACAAAUGUAUUUUAUUUUCUUUCCAAAUGCUCAAGGCACUUUUUGCUCAAAUGACUUGACUCUUCCAACAAGCAAAGUAUUCAAAAUGAAGUUCCUAAGACACAUGUUUUUAACAAUGGUAACUGGAAGAUUUUUCAUGUCACUGUAUCUUCAUGCCAAGCAUGUCUGUGUUCCAGUCACUCAAAUACAUAGAUUUAUCUAAAAUAAAAAUCAGUUCCAACACACUGCAUUCCCCUUUGGCUUAUCCUUAGCUGCUUGAGUUGUCACAAAAGUCAAAUUAAUAGAGGCAGCUGCAUUUCGUCAAAAUAAAGUUUGUGAUGUUAUUCUUUGAGUACUGACAGGCUGUGCACAUCAACUGCAAUCCGAAGUUCAGAAUGACCCUUAAUUGCUAUGUUUUCUGGGAUGUAUUUUGUUGUAUUAAUUUCUAGGUGAUCUUGCUAUACAAUUUUAGUGUUUCUUUUGCCCUAUUUUUGAAUAAUUUUUAUAUGAGAGCUCUUAUUGAUGCUAUUAAACAGGGUUUUUCCAAAGGCAAAUCGAAGGUUGGCAGAAGACAAAUUCAACUAUUUCCAGCUAACAAAUGACUUCACUGUUUUGUGCCACGGAUUCCUUUCCUUUAUCAUGUUUUUUAAGCUAAGUGGUACUUUCCUCCUAUAAUUUCCAGAAGUUUGACUUUCAGAAGAGAAAAUUGUGAAAAGAGAUGGGCUUACUACCUGUUGGAUGCUCAAGUCAAAUCUACCUGACAUGUAUGCUUUGCCAAUGAUUAUCAUUAAUAUUUGCAUGAAGCAGAAAGUCUUUUCAGACUCCAGCUAUAUUGCUGUUAGACAGAAUGCAAAAACAUUUCACAUCAGUUUUUGUUGUUUUUUCUUUUUCUUCAGCGGUUUGGAAAUUAUGUAACUGCAGUGAUUUUUACCUGGCAGAUUGCAGUAGCUUGAAAAUUAUCUCCUACACUGUGAUGGCACUUGAAUUCUGAAUGAAACACAUGGGCAUGACCUUAAAUAAAAUAAUUUAAGGUGAUUGGGAACUUAGAAUAUGUAUAUAGACUUUUAAUCCAUUCCACCCUUUUCCUUCAACUUUGUAGGCUUUUAUGCCCUCAGAAUAAAAUCUUAAUAGCUCACAUCAUACUAGAUAUGUCAAAUUUUACUGGAGUAAGAGCAAAUACGUGUACUUGGAAUUUCAAGAAGUUAUCUAGUCUGCUUCUUGUCCUAUGUAACAGAAUUGCCUACACCAAAGUGAGCCUGAAAAUUAUCCCCUCAGUCAAUUCAUUACUGUAUCUCAGAAUCUGGUUGUUUACUUCUGUGCACAGAAAUCAUGGAGUACAGACUGACUGCGUCUAUACAUGCAGUAACUACUUUCUUGUUCUCUACAGGAAGCUUUGUUUCUCUUUGUUUCUUCUCAUGUUAAGGAGCAUAGCUCUGUGAAAGAAAGCUAGCUUUGCAGGCAGAAGGACUUGGGUUUUAUCCCUGACAUCUCAAGAGCGCUUUUUCAGCUGAGGGAGGUGCUCUGACCUCAUUUGGCCUCACCUGGAAUGCUGCAUCCAGUUCUGGGGCCCUCAGUAUAGCAGACAUAGACCUGUUAGAACAGGACCAGAGGAGGUUAGAGAACUGGAGAACCUCUCCUGUGAAGACAGGCUGAGGAGAGCUAGGCUUGUUCAGCCUGGAGAAGGAAAGGCUUUGGGAAGACCUCAUCAUGGCCUUUCAGUAUUCAAAGGGAGUUUAUAAACAAGAUGGAGACCAACUUCUUACAUGGUCUGAUAGUGACAGAACAAGGGGAAACGAUUUUAAAUUAAAAGAGGGAAAAUUUAGUAGGUGGAAAUUUUUUACUCAGAAGAUGGUGAGGCACUCGAACAGGUUACCCAGAGAAGUUGUGAAGGCCCUAUUCCUACCAUUCCUGGGGGUGAUCAAGACCAGGCUGGAUGGGGCCCUAGGCAGCCUGUUCUUGUGGGUGUAACUCUCCCCACAGCAAUUGGGUUAGAACUAGGUGGUCUUUAAGGCUGGAAGGUUCUUUCCAACCUUUCAAAAUAUCAUCAAUCUCUGACAAGCCUCUUUGUCGUAUAUCUGUGUCACAUACAAAGAUGAAAAACAGAUUCAUUUUCAAACAAAGAGAAUACAAUAAUUUGAGAAAUAUUCACUUCCCACUUAUCCUUCACAUAAGACUUUAUGAAGAAAACUCUCAAAAGACUUGCCAAUUUGAAAUUUAGCAUGGAUCAUAUGAACCGUAUUACUGAGGUUUAUGACAAAAACAUUGACAUGUUUUGGAAUUUUUAAAGCUUUGGAAGGCAAAAUCUGUAAUUUAGAGCUAUGUUAUAUUUUUAUGGUUUGUGAUUGAUUAGCAUUCCUCAAAAGACAGGAAAAAGACCAUUUAAUGAUGUUGCAUCUAUUUUAAGAUGAAUACAUUUUCUUAAUAUAUAGUUUGAAUACAGUAGAAUAUGGCUUAACCUUGAAUGUUGAAACUGAAGGUUUUGUACUUUCUAGCUGUGCCUUGAAAACAGUCUUCAUCUUCUCUUUGAAGUUUUUUGUGGGUUUUUUAGUUUUUUUCUUCCUGGAAGUUGUCAGUACUGUACUGAUGUUAGUGAUCCGUAAGUAUACCAGAAUAUUCAGAAAUUCAUUAUGAACUUUAAUAGUAUUUGUAAGGAUGACUAAGAAAAGCUCCUUGGCCUGUUGAUACUUGAAUAGCAUUAACAGAAUCCAGCCUUGUCUGAUUAGACAAAUUGCUGCCUAGAAUAGUUCAGUCUGCUUUUUGCAGUUGACAUCUAAAAGAUAACAGAAAAAUAGGAAAGGCAGUAUGCAUGUUUUUAGUUCUUUUUCAUUCUGCUGAUGAUUGAAAGUGUACAUUUUGUUUCUUCCACUGCUGAUUUCUCAGACAUUUAAUUAAUAAGUUCCAAGCAUGAGCUAAACGUGAAUAAUCCUAGAAGGAAAACGUUGUCUUCUACCUAAUAAGCCCUACAUAAUUUUUAAUGAUUCCAGGUCUGACAAAAGUCACCCAGCUUUUCCACGUGUCUGACCAUUUUUCUUACAAAAUGUGUAAGUUUUAUCAGUCAUUAUUUUAAAGACACAAGAUGAUACCUCUGGAAGAAAAUUUGUUCUUUGGUAGAUAACUCUUUCUGUUAGUCUUGCUUAAUCCUGAAGUCUGAUUUCAGGCACUCUGUUUUGAUAGUUUUCCAUCAAAUUAUACAAUAAUAAUGCUUCAUAUCUAAUUGAAUCCAAAAUUAUUUUAUAUAUUGAAAGGAAUUAAUAGUAAUAUUAGAACAGUUAAUUAUUAGUAACAUUAGAACAGUUAAUUAUGUAGCAAGUAAUGUUAUCAGUGUUAAAGUUCAGAUUCUUGAAUGGGGCUAACACAUUAAUAUUCAGUAAAGAAACUGAACUUCUGCAGUUCAACUCCUAAAUCAAAUAAAUUGUUCAUUUUGAUCCAUUUUUGUUGGGGUGUUUUCCUAAACUCUUAACCUUAAUCAACUUCUGCUUUACAGUCAGUGGACAGCUCAGCCCAUUAUCUUUGCACCAUUCAACCUGUCAGAAUUUAUUAGCUUGCCAUCGACAGAGAACUCCCUGUACAACCAAUUGCUUGUUAAUUCUUCUUCAGCAAACUCUGAGGAAUUUUGUUAAAGAGCCAUUUUAAGCAAAGUAUUUGAUUUAUACUUCCUUUGGCAACAUUUAGGCAAAGGUUCAACAAACAUCAGAUUUUUACAGAUUACCCGAGCUUGGUAAAAUUUUAUGCUUCUCAAGUAUUUGAAAGUAAUCCAUUAGCAGUGAUUUUGGCAGUGGGUAAAUACCACGAUAAAAAUAAUACUUUGCGAUUAUUGCAUUGAACGUUGUUUAGAACCUUUUCCCCCUUAGGGUGAUUAUCUUCAUUAAAAUACACUAAAAAUAAAAUGAUGCAGCAUCUUUCAGUUUACAAAUUCUGUAACAGACAUUGUUUGAUGUACAUAGAACACAUUUUUCUGAGAUUGCUAUGGGCACUGAAACCUUCCUCUAUUGGAAUAUAAUUUCUUCCUUUUUAAGCCUGACACACUUUUGCUAGAUUGUCUCCACUGGAAUUACCACUAUCCUCCUUAAUUGAAAAUUUGCUAUUUGAUUUCAUUUUUGUACUGCAAUGCUACACAUUUUAAACAAUAAAAAUAUUCAGAAUUGUUUUUAAAUUUAGCUCCAAAUCAGCUCUAAAAAUUGUGAAUCUUUUCUUGUGGGAGUUUUAUCAAAGGAAUAGGCACAAAAACUGGCAGUUACAAAUAUUUAAAGUAUAAGUAAUAUGUUUUGGAGUUUGAAGAGCAGUGUAGAAAUCUUAUCUUGCACUCUGUUUACUUUUGAUUUCAAACUCUCCAAUCUAUGUCUGUUUUUUGUUUGUUUGUUUGUUUUUAACUAAGAGUGGGUGUUUAGCACUAAUUUUCUUUUAUCUAUGAUUUAUACCAUAGUUGCUCUCUUUUUUUGGAAUGUCACUCAUGUAUUCUGCUGUAGGAUACCAGCUAAACUACUUCUGUUAGGAGUAUACUGUCAGAGACCUCUGUAAUAUCAAUGGAUGCACCUCAAGAAAGCUUGUCAGCUGAGACCGAAUUCUCCAUUGUUUUUACAGUGUCUCAGAGGUUCAUAAAAGUGUCAAAGAAAUGGUUAACAGUAAUGGGUACUGUUAUGAUUGUUAAGCACUGGAAUAGGCUCCCCAGGGAGGUGGUUGUCACCAUCCCUGGAUGUGUUUAAAAACCAUUUGGAUGUGGUGCUCAGGGACAUGAUUUAGCAGAGAGUUGUUAGUUAGGGUAGUAUGGUUAGGUUGUGGUUGGACUUGAUGAUCUUUAAGGUCUUUUCCAACCUGAGCAAUUCUAUGAUUCUAUGAUUUAUGACUUUUCUCAGAGUCACUGUUUUUCAUUAAGCUGGCUGAAAGUGGAUCCAUUCUACUAGGAUCUACCUUUGAUUUUUCAUUUUAUUACUGAAAUAAUCAUGCUUUUAAAAAACAUGGCAUGUUUGUAUCACUGAGAGAAAGAUGAAGACCUAUUAUAAUAGAGAAGGAACAAGGUAAGAGUUUUCAUUAAAAAGGUAGGAAGUUUUGAUUUUCUUACUACUGUAUGGGACCUCCUUACAAAGAUAAUAGAAGCCAGAGUAAUGAAUAUUAGAGAUGUGAGUUGGAGCAGAGGUACAGAGUGACAAAGGAGUGAAAGACACAAUGGUUGUUAGUGUAGAACUACUGAUGAUAUAUGGUAAAGGAUUGAAGCAUCUGUGAGCUCUUUUUAUGAAGGCAAGAAAGAUAAGCAACUGGAAAAUUCCCAAACAGUAGAAUGAUUCCCUGAUGAAAAGGGAGUCCUACUAAGAGAACAUCUCUGAAACAAGUGAAGAAUAAAACUGUCACAUACAUCUAAAUAAAUGAAGUUCCCAAAUAAAAAUGUGUCUAGAAUUAAAAUAUACCAGAAUGGUCAGGAAAAUGCUUAAGUGUAGAGAUUACUCUGUUUUUUUAAAAGAAGAUAUUAUUGGCACUUUAUUUUCAAUGGGCAGAAACCAAUGGAAAGAUUUGGAAGGUGGAAAGUAAACCUCAGUGAUGAAUAUUAAGUUAAGAAGAACAAAGUUAUAUUUGGAAACAGAAAAUAAGGAACUUUUAGGAGGUCCUGUGAUUUUUUCUCCAAGAAAUAAUGAGACCUGUAAAAUUACUAAGAGGAGAGUAAAGUGCAAAAUGAAAGACAGUCUUCAAGAAAAUCAAGUUAUUAAGAACAAAAAAAUCCAGAAGAGUAAUUACUUGCUUCAGAAAGUAGAAUGAAGAUGUGUCAGAAACUUUGGAAAGCUGCAAAAAUUGUUUAUUUUUACUCUAAUUUUUAAAAUGAUUUAGUGAACAAACAAACAGAAAACAAUCCACCACUACUGAAAAAAACCUACCAACAAACAACCUGAAGCUAGCAUUCUAUUAUUUUUCACCACCAGAAUUAUAUGUGCAAACUUUACAGAUCAAGGUAAAGAGUUGCCAGAGCAUCCAGUUUAUAAAUAAAUGUUUCUAACUGUAGAAUAAUGUCAUGGUUUUAUGAUUUUUUUGUUAUCGAUAUUCCACAUCAUAACAUCAUGUAGAACACUGGGAGUUAAAGAGUUAAUGCUCCAGUUCCUUGGAUCUUGGAUACUUCCAGGUACCUGGAUCUCAGAAGAGAAGAAGAACUACAUACUACGUACCCCAGAGGACUUUGCGUUGUUCUGUUUCCAUUUUCCAUUUGUAGGGAAAGAUAAAACUGUUUGCAGAUCACGAGAAGUGCCCCUCUCUUCUUCCCUUUCUGCUCAUCCCAGCAGCGUGCAUGCUCAUCUUCAGCAUUAGAGUAAGGCCUUCUGGUUGGUUGGUUGGUUGGUU